CCUACGGGGGGCAGCAGUAAGGAAUAUUGGACAAUGGCCGCAAGGCUGAUCCAGCCAUGCCGCGUGCAGGAAGAAGGCCCUAUGGGUCGUAAACUGCUUUUGAACGGGAGAAAACCCUUGCUCGUGAGCGAGGCUGAUAGUACCGUUAGAAUAAGCAUCGGCUAACUUCGUGCCAGCAGCCGCGGCAAGACGAAGGAUGCAGGAGUCAUCCGGAUUCAUGGGGUUGAAGGGGGACGUGGGCGGCAGUGUAGAAAUCUGUGGGCUUAACCCACAAACUGCCAUUGAUACUGCAGGUCUAGAGUACAGUUGCCGUUGGCGGAAUAUGACAUGUAGUGGUGAAAUACUUAGAUAUGUCAUAGAACACCGAUUGCGAAGGCAGCUAACGAAGCUGUAACUGACGCUGAGGCUCGAAAGUGCGGGGAUCAAACAGGAUUAGAUACCCUGGUAGUC
rnacentral:rRNA from 1 species